ACAAGGGGGCGGUGGGCCGCACACAAAUCCUCAGCGUGGGGGCGGGAGCGUGCCCAUCCUCCACCGGCGGAGCAAUAAUACGCAUGCGCAGACUUUCGCGGGCCCUCCUCCGCACCGGGGGUGCGCGAGGCUGGGGCAGUCGUUGGAGCUCAAGGUGCGAGGCCGGCAGGGGGCGCUCUCAGGAUAACAGAGGCUGGAAGUUCGCAAAGUCAGGCGCGUGAGGCGUGUAUGAGGUGGUGUCAUAUCACUUGCUGUGGAAGUCAUGUUGAUGGCAUCCUUACAGUGUGUCCUAAAUAUAUCUGUUAUUCUGAUAUUGCAAGAAACUCUUUCCAGUGGAUUCUGAAGAACUUCCACAGGCAUUUAUUUUGGAAUGAGCUGAUCUUUUUAUCUAUUUCUGUUGUAAAUUUCCAUGACUCUGCUCCAUAAUUGAGGACAGACAUGAUGCUGGUAUUAAAAAAUUAUAUUUCUGUGUCAGUGCCAA